rnacentral:rRNA from 1 species
GUGGGGAAUAUUCCGCAAUGGACGAAAGUCUGACGGAGCAACGCCGCGUGAGUGAUGAAGGUUUUCGGACUGUAAAGCUCUGUUGUUUAGGACGAAAGUGCCUGUUGCAAAUAGUUACAGGUAUUGACGGUACUGAACGAGGAAGCCACGGCUAACUACGUGCCAGCAGCCGCGGUAAUACGUAGGUGGCAAGCGUUGUCCGUAAUUAUUGGGCGUAAAGAGCAUGUAGGCGGUAAUCUAAGUAUGUUGUGAAAAUGCGGGGCUCAACCCCGUAUUGCGAUGGAAACUGGGUUUCUUGAGUGCAGGAGAGGAAAGGGGAAUUCCCAGUGUAGAGGUGAAAUGCGUAGAUAUUGGGAGGAACACCAGUGGCGAAGGCGCCUUUCUGGCCUGUGUCUGACGCUGAGAUGCGAAAGCCAGGGUAGCGAACGGGAUUAGAUACCCGGGUAGUCC